rnacentral:lncRNA from 1 species
ACACUUGUGGCAAAAUAAGUUGCCUUUGGCCACGCAGGAGACUGAGUUUUGUGAGGGGUUGUCCUUCUCCCAGUCUCUCUUCCCGCUGGGAACAGAAGUGUCCAGUAAACCCACCUGCAUUCCACGUGUCCUGUGGCCGCCUCCAGUGGUGAGUCUGUGAGGCCAGAGAAGAGAAGCUAUGACCGUGCAAACAUGCAUGUUAUGGUGUUGGCUGAUGCGGAAUCAGGAAGCUUGGAGGAGCUCUUGCAUGAGGAAUUGCAGAACUUAGGGGCAUGAAUUUGCACUUCCAGAUGUGAAGGUUGCAGGCACCGGGCGUUGCAGAGGAAGUGGGCAAGCUCACCUUGUAGAGAACUUACUUGGGGUUUGUAAUUUGUAUACACUUCUUACCCAGCAGAAACAGCUUACUGAACACCCCUCGGGUGGCUGGAUGAUGUGCUAGCAACUGAAACCAUCUCUGCGACUUAAGCUUCUCUGGUGCGUCGCGCCCCACGUGCUUCUCCAGAAUCCCGUUUGGAGGGGCCAAGCAAGUCCAAUAUAGAUAGGUUUAUACUGAAGCCAUCAGUUUUGUUUCUUACAUCGUUUGUAAACAGCAGUAUUAUCCUGGAACUUGUUUCCUACAGAACUGUAAGAUAAGGAUAAAAUCCCAUCCACCUGAAUUGCUGAGAAACGUAAGAGGUGGUGUGACCCGCUGGAGCCCUGUGGAGUGGCGGACUCUGGGGAGUAGCUGGUCAGUGAGAUUCUCGCAGCAAUGUGAGGCAUCCUCCUCACAGAAAUGCAUUUACGGAUGUUGCUGUAUCCCCUGACCUGGCCUACAAGGACAGAACAGCCCUGGGGGCCACGUCCCCUCCCGGUCUCAUCUGCCGCUUGCUCACCUUGCCCUUGCUUCGGCCACAGCUGCUGGGAUGUCCUCGGGCCUCCCCUGUUUGUCUGCAUGUCUUCUUGUUGCCAUCGGGGCAGUGGAGUCCCCGGAAACAGUCCAAGGCCCUGGGGUGGGGGAUUUAAAUUUUUGGCUUCCCUCAGACCUCAGACCGUGUGGGUUUUUUUU